rnacentral:rRNA from 1 species
CAAUAGCGUAUAUUAAAGUUGUUGCGGUUAAAAAGCUCGUAGUUGGAUUUCUGCUGAGAACGACCGGUCCGCCCUUUGGGUGUGUAUCUGGCUCUUUCUUGGCAUCUUCUUGGUGAACGUUGCUGCACUUGACUGUGUGGAGCGCUACCCAGGACUUUUACUUUGAGGAAAUUAGAGUGUUCAAAGCAGGCUUACGCCGUUGAAUAUGCUAGCAUGGAAUAAUAAGAUAGGACCUUGGUACUAUUUUGUUGGUUUGCGCACCGAGGUAAUGAUUAAUAGGGACAGUUGGGGGUAUUCGUAUUGCAUUGUCAGAGGUGAAAUUCUUGGAUUUUUGCAAGACGAACGACUGCGAAANCANNNACCAAGGAUGUUUUCAUNAA